CCCGGAAGGGGUUGGCUUGUUCUCCCACCCGUCGACCGCUGCCAUCCUGCGAGCCCGUCCGCCGGCAGCGCCUAGCGUUAUCCCAUCCAUCCAGUACCUAGCAUCAGCGAGCUCUCUGUGAUUCGAGCGGAACAGCUCGUCAGCAAGCGAGGAGCCCUGUGGCCAGGGCGGCGGCCGUCGCGUGGCGUCCCAGAGCUUCGUCCGCUGUCCGGGCCCAGAUGUUCGCCGCGGCCGGCAGCCAGCCGGUGCUUCGCCUGCAGCCGGAGACGGUGCGCUGCUGUGUUUUCCAUCAGCAAUCCAGAGCCAGCUACUGCGGCUACCCACGAGAGACGAGACGGCGUGGGGCCUGAUGUUUCUCGCCCAUCUCAGACGGCCGCUAGGUGUUCGUGGAAAUGCUUCUUAGGUGCAAAUUGGAUGGGGACGGCUGAGCGCGACACAUUUUCAGGCGCCGUGCUCAAAUCGGAGCAUGUGUAGUCGAGGGGGCCGCUGCCUCUCUUGCAUAGCUCGGCCUCGUUGGAAUUCUGAAUCGACAAGGAUUAUGCAGUGCCAGUGCCAUGCUGUAUGCCGAAGAGCUGAACAAUCUCGUACAGGUUUGCAUCACCCGGCUACUUCAGGCCACAGUCACCAGGAAAACCAUGUCCGUGAUGGUCAGAGGAGAUGGUGAUUCAUGGGUCAGAUUUCUCUGGGCCCUUUUGGGUUUCUGACACAAUGAUGGGGCACCAGGUUCUAGUGCUCUGAGCUGAAGAAGCUCGCAUCUGGUUGCCUUGAGUUUGUGCCUGAGCUUGAGGUUGUUGGCUCCUUGCCUGCUGGUGCAUAGGCCGACGAGAAGCUGGAGAAGGCCCCCUCUGGUUGAAUCUGGAACCCUGAUUUUGGUAUUGAUCUCCCUCGUCGAAGCAGCUAGGUGAUCUCCAUCUGCCACCACCUUGGUCACCGCCACGACUCCGUCUGACACCGCGACCCCUUCCCCAUGUGUUGCGAUUUUCUUGUUUUGAGGCAAUAAGGGAGAUUCCAAGGGAGAGAUUGCGUCCGCCUCCGAUCCUGCUGUCUCCGGCGAACUAGCAUACGGCUCCACUUCAUCAUCUCUUGCUGGAUUGUUGUGUUGGCGAUGAUGCGGAGCUCGAGAUCUUCUCGCUGACGAGUUUUCAGGACCCUUCUGAAGCACCCUAGCACCCGUCUGAUUUCUCCGGCCCUUUCCUGGGCCAGAUGUGCCUGCUGGUUUCUUUGGGUCUGGCAACUCUUUCCUCCUAUUUAGCAUCGCAAGAACAUCUGCCAUGGUGGGUCGAUCAUUCCGAUCAAGCUGAGUGCACAUCAAUCCUACCUCCAUGCACAUCUUGGCCUCCAUUAGCUGAGACUCGUCACAAAGUGAUGGAUCAGACAACGCCUCCAUUCGUCCAGCUUCCUGCCGAACCGUCCAAGCCUGAAAUUAACUCCAGUCAUAUAUAUGUUAUUAUGACUUGUAAAUUGAUAUCACAAACAUAAAUGUUAUAUAACGAGCAAUGCUUACCCAUUGAACUAAAUGUUCAGGACAACGACAGAGUCUCCAUUCCUCCAAUAUGACAUGGCUUGCAAUUUUUGUAAAAUUAUUUUAAAUAGAUGGCUAUAUAUUAUGAAGGUAUUUAACAUGGCAAAUCUAGUAGAAUACCUAGAUUUGAAAUCAGAGGGAGUAUUUUAGAAUCUUACGGUGUACCAAUUAUCUCACUGUUGCUAGUGAUCUCAUCAUCAUGGCCCAACCUUUUAGCUGUCCCAAAAUCACUAAUCUUAGGGUUCAUGUUACAAUCCAAGAUAAUGUUCCUAUGCUUCAGAUCCAAAUGGACAAUGCGUUGCUUAUGUAGGUAGUGUAUGCCUCGUGCAAUCCCUUUAAUUAUUUGGAAGCGAGUGGACCACUUAACAUUGCCUGCAAAUUACGAAAGAUGCAUAUAGCCAUGUACGGGUAACUAUUAGACAAGAGACAAAUAGAUUUACAAAGGGUUAAGAGAUGCAUUGUUUUCAGGCGGUGAACUGUAAUUUGUAUUUUGACAGCAAUGCGUAUACUACCUUGAGUAAUAAAGUCGUACAUGCUCCCAUUUCGCAUGUAUUCUUCGACGAAACAAUAAGUCGGUUGUUUAUCUCCAAUGUAUUCAUCAUCCGAGCAAACCAAAGCCACUUUGAUUUCAUGACAGUAUCCCAGACAUCUUACUAUAUUUUUGUGCUUAAUAUCUGAGACAAUGUUAACUUCAUUGUAUAUGUGUUUCUCAUCACGUGAUGGAGGGUUGCGUACUUGCUUGAUGGCAACCACACGCCCGUCAUGCAGUCGACCCUAAAAAGUAAUGAACACAAAGUCAAAUGAUGGGUUCGUGACAUCUUAUUAUAAAAUAUACAAGAACAGCAGCUAGUGUCCAAGGCACCACAAAAAUCCUAGAAUCAAGAUUAUCCUGGGGAACGUAGAAAUUCUCAAAAUAAGUAAAGCUUCUGAGCCUCAAUUUGUUUAUCUCUAAGGAUCAACAACAGCAUUAGCCAUAAGCUGCACUUCACCUGCGUAGUUGUUCUGAACCAAAGAUCAAUAAAAAAAAAUCUACCUGUUUGAUUCCAAUACUAUAGAAUGCUAUGGAGAGCAAAAAUAUCAAACAUGUAAAUCAC